rnacentral:lncRNA from 1 species
CCUGAUCUGCUGUUUUAUUAUGGUUUUUUUUUAUACAAAUGCCUUAUAAGUACUUGCAAUACAUCAUGUAUUCAGUAGUAUCUAUGAACUUUCUGUUUCCUGCUGUUUUCUUUUAUAAUGUGCAGUGUUAAUCUAAGCUGAAUGUGGGAAUUUCAAGCCUUUGUGAGUGGGUUAAUGCCUUCCUGAUGAUGGUGCUCAGAGGUGGUGUCUGCUAAAAUCGUGGCUUUGUUUCUUUUCUUCCAAUCCUGAAGGUAUUUGUAGUCAUCUGCUUAUUUUACAGAAAACCAGGCUGUACUAUUCUAAUCAUCUUCCAGCUCAUGAGUUUUAAUCUGUGUCUGUCUGAGAAAUUUUAAUUGAUCUGACAUCAAAAAUGCAGUAAAAUACUAUUUUCUUUGUGUAAAUUACUUUGAAAUCAGGUGUGGCUAAUCCAGGGGGAGGUUUCACUUCCACUUGGGAAUACUUGAAGAAAUAACUAUAAAUUAACAAACAAGAAGUUCAGCUCUCUCCAGCAACGCUUCACAUGGCUUAGUGUCUGAGCCAGGGUGUAGUAUCAGUUACUUAUCCAAAUGUGGAUGCUGUGUAAAGCAAAUAACACCUCUAGAGGCUGUUGUAACAGAUCUUUUAAGUAAUUUCUCUAACACUGCACUCUCUUGUCUUUGUCUUGCUUGCAAACAAAAAGCCCACUGAAAACUAGGCUACCAGGGCCUGCAUACUGAAUAUGCAAUUCAACUGCUUGUUAAAUAACAGGUUUCUGUCUACAAAAAUGGCAAAAUCAGCUGUAUUAAAAUUGCAGCUUUUUUUUACUACAGCAAUGGAAGAAUUUUCUAGACUUGACAAAGUUUUCAGCCUGUGUCUUUACCUCCUAUAGGCUGAAAAGUUUUCUCUGUCCACCACAGGUCUGCUGGGAUGUGGUGUGAUGGUGUCUCUGAGAGGCUGCACUGUGCUGGUGACCCCGGGCUGUGUCUGGAACACCUGCACUGCAAACCUGCUGCAAACUGAUGGGCACCACUGCCAAAUAAAGAAUGGAUGUUUACAGGUCCAAAAAAUUAUCAGAAAUCUGCCAACCUGUCACUACUUGAACUGUUAUGGCUAUACCAAACAAAUCUUGAUACCAGAGUGCCUUGGCAUGAACAGUACAGCUUUCCAAGUCCUCAAGUUAAGUAAACUUUAAAAAU